CCCUUAGCAAUGGUUACAACAAUGUGCCUGUAACUACUAAGUGGGAGACAUUUGAGCCCGAAUCUCAAACCCCAUUGCCUUCUCAAAGCCCAGUGCCACCUGUCACUACUGCGCUGCCAUCUCCAGUGCCUUUUCCUCAAAGCCCAGUGCCACCUGUCACUACUCCUUUGCCAUCUCCAGUGCCUUUUCCUCAAAGCCCAGUGCCACCUGUCACUACUCCUUUGCCAUCUCCUGCCCCUUCUCAAAGCCCAGUGCCACCUGUCACUACUCCGUCACCAUCUUUUGCGCCUACAACUCAGCCAUCAUCUGCUCAUUCGCCCGUGCCGUCUUUUGUGCCGACAUCUAUGCCAUCGUCUAC
rnacentral:lncRNA from 1 species